rnacentral:lncRNA from 1 species
GUUUCUCUUCUCUCAUAUCCACAAACAGAAACAGCUUUCAGCACGUAAAUCCUUCAACUUCCCUUUACUCCACGGCAAACCGACUUAUCGAUCUCUAUCUGCAACCGACUUCGUUCAUUCCCUUCUCUCUCAGCCUUGCAGUCUUUUUUGUUUUAAACAGACAAGACAAGAAGUAGAUGAAGUGAAAUUUUAUGCGAAACAGUUACCGUG